rnacentral:tRNA from 1 species
GUGGAUAUAGUUUAAUCAAAACGUUAGAUUGUGAUUCUAAAAACAGAGGUUAAAGCCCCCUUAUCCGCC